UACGUAGGGUGCGAGCGUUGUCCGGAAUUAUUGGGCGGAAAGAGCUCGUAGGUGGCGUGUCGCGUCUGCCGUGAAAGCCCAUGGCUUAACUGUGGGUCUGCGGUGGAUACGGGCAGGCUGGAGGCUGGUAGGGGCAAGCGGAAUUCCUGGUGUAGCGGUGAAAUGCGCAGAUAUCAGGAGGAACACCGGUGGCGAAGGCGGCUUGCUGGGCCAGUUCUGACGCUGAGGAGCGAAAGCGUGGGGAGCGAACAGG
rnacentral:rRNA from 1 species